rnacentral:rRNA from 1 species
AUGAACGCUGGCGGCGCGCCUAAUACAUGCAAGUCGAACGGAGUGUGUUCUCGUAACGCACUCAGUGGCGAACGGGUGAGUAACGCGUAGGUGACCUACCCCGAAGAGGGGGAUAACAGCUCGAAAGGGCUGCUAAUACCCCAUGUGGUUCUGUGGAUUAGAGGCCGCAGAACUAAAGGCGCAAGCCGCUUCGGGAUGGGCCUGCGUCCCAUCAGCUAGUUGGUAGGGUAACGGCCUACCAAGGCGAUGACGGGUAGGGGGCCUGAGAGGGUGGCCCCCCACACUGGCACUGAAACACGGGCCAGACACCUACGGGUGGCAGCAAUAGGGAAUAUUGGGCAAUGGGCGAAAGCCUGACCCAGCGACGCCGCGUGCGCGAUGAAGGCCUUCGGGUUGUAAAGCGCUUUUGGAGGGGAUGAGGAAGGACAGUACCCUCCGAAUAAGCCUCGGCUAACUACGUGCCAGCAGCCGCGGUAAAACGUAGGAGGCGAGCGUUAUCCGGAUUUACUGGGCGUAAAGCGCGUGUAGGCGGUCUGGCAAGUUGGAUGUGAAAUCUCCCGGCUCAACCGGGAGAGGUCGUUCAAUACUGCUAGACUAGAGAGCGGUAGAGGGGGGUGGAAUUCCGGGUGUAGCGGUGAAAUGCGUAGAUAUCCGGAGGAACACCAGUGGCGAAGGCGGCCCCCUGGACCGUCUCUGACGCUCAGACGCGAAAGCUAGGGGAGCAAACGGGAUUAGAGACCCCGGUAGUCCUAGCCGUAAACGAUGUGGACUUGGCGUUGGUGGGUUAAAAUCCAUCAGUGCCGAAGCUAACGCGAUAAGUCCACCGCCUGAGGACUACGGCCGCAAGGCU